rnacentral:sRNA from 2 species
AGAGCGAGGACGCUAACAGGAAGAUGACUCAGGAUGAGGGUCAGGAGCGCCAGGAGGCGAAGACAGAGGAUUGUCAGGAAGACAAACGUCCGGAGACGUAAUUAAACGGAAAUGGAAUCAACACGGAAUGUUCUGGCUAAUGGAAAAACAGGGUGUGUUGGCGGCCUGCAAGGAUUGUAAGACCCGUUAAGGGUUAUGAGUCAGGAAAAAAGGCGACAGAGUAAUCUGUCGCCUUUUUUCUUUGCUUGCUU